rnacentral:rRNA from 1 species
AUUGAACGCUGGCGGCAGGCUUAACACAUGCAAGUCGAGCGGGGGAAGGUAGAUUGCUACUGGACCUAGCGGCGGACGGGUGAGUAAUGCUUAGGAAUCUGCCUAUUAGUGGGGGACAACAUCUCGAAAGGGAUGCUAAUACCGCAUACGUCCUACGGGAGAAAGCAGGGGAUCUUCGGACCUUGCGCUAAUAGACGAGCCUAAGUCGGAUUAGCUAGUUGGGGGGGUAAAGGCCUACCAAGGCGACGAUCUGUAGCGGGUCUGAGAGGAUGAUCCGCCACACUGGGACUGAGACACGGCCCAGACUCCUACGGGAGGCAGCAGUGGGGAAUAUUGGACAAUGGGGGGAACCCUGAUCCAGCCAUGCCGCGUGUGUGAAGAAGGCCUUAUGGUUGUAAAGCACUUUAAGCGAGGAGGAGGCUACUCUAGUUAAUACCUAGGGAUAGUGGACGUUACUCGCAGAAUAAGCACCGGCUAACUCUGUGCCAGCCGCCGCAGUAA